ensembl:lncRNA
CGUGGCCAAAGGCUCACUAGAAACUGUUGACACAAAGGGGCAAAAGAUGGCCUGGUCACCCCCUGGUGAUCGCACUGGACCAGAGGGAGAGUCGCCAGGCCCUGUGCAGCCGACCCUCAGCUGGCAAGUCCUGGUCUUCGGGUGGCCUGCGUCGGGGCUGCUGAUGACACGCACACAGUGCACAGCCUGGCUCUAGAGACUUCAGUAUCCAGGAGACAGUGGAUCCGCUGUGGAGAUGGGGAAACUCAGGCAGAGGGGAAAGGCCAUGUGAGGCCACCGUGAGAAGGCAGCGGUCUACAAGCUGGGAAGACAACUCCCGUCAGACACGAAAUCAGCUGACACUUGAUUACUGAGUUCCAGCCUCAGGAUUGAAAGCAGUAAAGACUCUUCUCCAUCAUAAGCUACCACAAGAUGCUGGCUAUAGUUCCGUGUGCUGUGCAGCAGGUCCUUGCUGUUUAUUUUGUAUCCAGUUCCAUUCUGCUUUUUAGAAAGUUAUUGGCUGAUUUACUCAUUAUUUUGGGGUGCGUCAGAUCUCAGCUGCGGCACACAGGAUCUCC